rnacentral:rRNA from 1 species
ACAUGCCUACAACAUAGUGAUAAUGCACUGGAUCCCAUUUGAACUCUGCAGUUUAGUGCACUCAGGCUAGAGUAGUACUGGGAUGGGUGACCACCCAGAAA